UACAGAGGGGGCAAGCGUUGUUCGGAAUUACUGGGCGUAAAGGGCGCGUAGGCGGCCUGUUAAGUCGAACGUGAAAUCCCUGGGCUCAACCCAGGAACUGCGUCCGAUACUGGCAGGCUUGAAUUCGGGAGAGGGAUGCGGAAUUCCAAGGUGUAGCGGUGAAAUGCGUAGAUAUCUGGAGGAACACCGGUGGCGAAGGCGGCAUCCUGGACCGAUAUUGACGCUGAGG
rnacentral:rRNA from 1 species